GUCUAUGGCCAUACCACCCUGAAUGCACCUGAUCUUGCCAGAUCUCAGAAGCAAAGCAGGGUUGGGCCUGGUUAGUAGUUGGAUGGGAGAAAAAACUUUUUGUAGAGACAAGGUCUCACUAUGUU
rfam:Nomascus leucogenys chromosome 17, whole genome shotgun sequence.